rnacentral:rRNA from 1 species
GACGAACGCUGGCGGCGUGCCUAAUACAUGCAAGUCGAGCGGACUUAAAAGGCUUGCUUUUUAAGUUAGCGGCGGACGGGUGAGUAACACGUGGGCAACCUGCCUGUAAGACUGGGAUAACUUCGGGAAACCGGAGCUAAUACCGGAUAAUCCUUUCCUACUCAUGUAGGAAAGCUGAAAGACGGUUUACGCUGUCACUUACAGAUGGGCCCGCGGCGCAUUAGCUAGUUGGUGAGGUAACGGCUCACCAAGGCGACGAUGCGUAGCCGACCUGAGGGGGUGAUCGGCCACACUGGGACUGAGACACGGCCCAGACUCCUACGGGAGGCAGCAGUAGGGAAUCUUCCGCAAUGGACGAAAGUCUGACGGAGCAACGCCGCGUGAGUGAUGAAGGUUUUCGGAUCGUAAAACUCUGUUGUUAGGGAAGAACAAGUACGAGAGUAACUGCUCGUACCUUGACGGUACCUAACCAGAAAGCCACGGCUAACUACGUGCCAGCCGCCGCCGUAA